CGCCUUGUUUCUCAAAAACAUAGCUUUAUGGUUUUUAUGUAAGGUAAUACCUGCCCGGUGACUUUUUAACGGCCGCAGUACUUUGACUGUGCUAAGGUAGCAUAAUAAAUUGGCUUUUAAUUGAAGUCUAGAAUGAACGGAUAAAUGAAUAACGCCUUUCUAAAUUUAAUUAUUAAAAAUUUACUUAAGAGGUGAAAAUUCCUUUAAUAGUUAAAAUAGACGAGAAGACCCUAGGAGUUUUAAUUUUUUGUUGGGGCGACAUUAUAGCAGAUACAACCUAUAAAUAAUAAAGUAAUUUUACCAAUUCUUUUAAUAACAAUUAAACUACCCUAGGGAUAACAGCAUAAUUUUUUUAAAGAUUGUGACCUCGAUGUUGGAUUAGGAAAAUUUAAUAUUAACUAUAUUAAGGUUUUGUUCUGUUCGAACAGUAUCUCCUACAUGAUCUGAGUUCAAACCGGA
rnacentral:rRNA from 1 species